GUUCGUAGGCGGUGUGGCAAGUCGGGAGUGAAAUCUCUUGGCUUAACUCAUAGGCUGCUUCCGAAACUGCUGUGCUUGAGUGUGGGAGAGGCGCGUGGAAUUGCAGGUGUAGCGGUGAAAUGCGUAGAUAUCUGCAGGAACACCCGUGGCGAAAGCGGCGCGCUGGACCACAACUGACGCUGAGGAACGAAAGCUAGGGGAGCAAACAGGAUUAGAUACCCUGGUAGUCCUAGCCCUAAACGAUCAGGACUUGGGGUGCCACCCGUUCGGGUGUCCUCCCGGACCUAACACGUUAAGUCCUGCACCUGGGGAGUACGGUCGCAAGACUGAAACUCAA
rnacentral:rRNA from 1 species